rnacentral:rRNA from 1 species
UACGUAGGGGGCAAGCGUUGUCCGGAUUUAUUGGGCGUAAAGAGCGUGUAGGCGGCCCGGUAAGUCCGUUGUGAAAGUCGAGGGCUCAACCCUCGAAUGCCGGCGGAUACUGUCGGGCUAGAAUCCGGAAGAGGCGAGUGGAAUUCCUGGUGUAGCGGUGAAAUGCGCAGAUAUCAGGAGGAACACCUAUGGCGAAGGCAGCUCGCUGGGACGGUAUUGACGCUGAGACGCGAAAGCGUGGGGAGCGAACAGG